UCGGUUGUGUAAAAGUGCUUAUAGUGCAGGUAGGUCGUGUAACUACUGCCCUGUGAGCACUUCCAACAUGACCAC
rfam:Monodelphis domestica chromosome X, whole genome shotgun sequence.